UGCAAGUCGGACGGUAGCACAGAGAGCUUGCUCUUGGGUGACAAGUGGGGGACGGGUGAGUAAUGUGUGGGGAUCUGCCCGAUAGAGGGGGAUAACCCCUGGAAACGGGGGCUAAUACCGCAUAACGUCGCAAGACCCAAGAGGGGGACCUUCGGGCCUCUCACUAUCGGAUGAACCCACAUGGGAUUAGCUAUUAGGCGGGGUAAUGGCCCACCUAUGCGACAAUCCCUAUCUGGUCUGAGAGGAUGACCACCCACACUGGAACUGAGACACGGUCCACACUCCUACGGGAGGCAGCAGUGGGGAAUAUUGCACAAUGGGCGCAAGCCUGAUGCACCCAUGCCGCGUGUAUGAAAAAAGCCUUCGGGUUGUAAAGUACUUUCAGCGGGGAGGAAGGCGACGGGGUUAAUAACCCUGUCGAUUGACGUUACCCGCAGAAAAAACACCGGCUAACUCCGUGCCACCAGCCGCGGUAAUACGGAGGGUGCAAGCGUUAAUCGGAAUUACUGGGCGUAAAGCGCACGCACGCGGUCUGUUAAGUCAGAUGUGAAAUCCCCGGGCUUAACCUGGGAACUGCAUUUGAAACUGGCAGGCUUGAGUCUUGUAGAGGGGGGUAGAAUUCCA
rnacentral:rRNA from 1 species